CGCAGCCGCGGUAAUUCCAGCUCCAAUAGCGUAUAUUAAAGUUGUUGCAGUUAAAAAGCUCGUAGUUGAACUUCGGGAUUUGCCCAUUGGUCAGGCUUAACUGUCUGCACUGGUGUGACGAGUUCCUACCUUCUGAGGAAUCUCCAUGUCAUUCAGUUGGUGUGGGGGGAAAUCAGGACUGUUACUUUGAAAAAAUUAGAGUGCUUAAAGCAGGCAUCCGUCUGAAUACAUUAGCAUUGAAUAAUAAAAUAGGACGGUUUGGUUCUAUUUUGUUGGUUUCUAGGAUCACCGUAAUGAUUAAUAGGGAUAGUUGGGGGCAUUAGUAUUCAAUUGUCAGAGGUGAAAUUCUUGGAUUUAUUGAAGACUAACUACUGCGAAAGCAUUUGCCAAGGAUGUUUUCAUUAAUCAAGAACGAAAGUUAGGGGAUCGAAGACGAUCAGAUACCGUCGUAGUCUUAACCAUAAACUAUGCCGACUAGGGAUCGGAUGAUGUUAAUUUUUA
rnacentral:rRNA from 1 species